rnacentral:ncRNA from 2 species
GGGAAUCCGGUGGGAAUCCGGAGCGGUCGCGCCACUGUGACCGGUCGUCCUCACCGACGACCGGCAGCCAGACC